rnacentral:misc_RNA from 1 species
GAUGAAGAACGUAGCGAAAUGCGAUAAGUAGUGUGAAUUGCAGAAUUCAGUGAAUCAUCGAAUCUUUGAACGCACAUUGCGCCCCUCGGUAUUCCGGGAGGUAUGCCUGUUCGAGCGUCAUUUGUACCCUCAAGCUCUGCUUGGUGUUGGGUGUUUGUUCCGCCUCUGUGUGUGAACUCGCCUCAAAACAAUUGGCAGCCGGCGUACUUGUUUCGGAGCGCAGCACAUUUUGCGAUCCAGAUCAACGUACAGCGGCAUCCAAGAAGCCUUAUUUAACGCUCUUGACCUCGGAUCAGGUAGGGAUACCCGCUGAACUUAAGCAUAUCAAUAAGCGGAGGA